rnacentral:rRNA from 1 species
CACGUAGGGCGCAAGCGUUGUCCGGAAUCAUUGGGCGUAAAGGGCGCGUAGGCGGCCUGUUAAGUCGGCUGUGAAAGCCCGGGGCUCAACCCCGGAGGGUCAGCCGAUACUGGCAGGCUAGAGUACGGAAGAGGUAGCUGGAAUUCCCGGUGUAGCGGUGAAAUGCGCAGAUAUCAGGAGGAACACCGGUGGCGAAGGCGGUUCUCUGGGAAUAUUCUGACGCUGAGGAGCGAAAGUGUGGGGAGCGAACAGG